rnacentral:rRNA from 1 species
CCGACGGUGAGAGGUGAAAGCUGGGGGAGCAAACCGGAUUAGAUACCCGGGUAGUCCCAGCCGUAAACGAUGUGCGUUAGGUGUAUCGGUGACCACGAGUCACCGAGGUGCCGAAGAGAGAUCGUGAAACGUACCGCCUGGGAAGUACGGUCGCAAGGCUGAAACUUAAAGGAAUUGGCGGGGGAGCACCACAACAGGUGGAGCCUGCGGUUUAAUCGGACUCAACGCCGGGAAACUCACCAGAUAA